rnacentral:rRNA from 1 species
UGAGGAAUAUUGGUCAAUGGGCGAGAGCCUGAACCAGCCAAGUAGCGUGCAGGAUGACGGCCCUAUGGGUUGUAAACUGCUUUUAUAUGGGAAUAAAGUGAGGGACGUGUCCCUUAUUGCAUGUACCAUACGAAUAAGGACCGGCUAAUUCCGUGCCAGCAGCCGCGGUAAUACGGAAGGUCCAGGCGUUAUCCGGACUUAUUGGGUUUAAAGGGGGCGUAGGCUGUUUGUUAAGCGUGUUGUGAAAUGUAAGAGCUCAACUUUUAGAUUGCAGCGCGAACUGGCAGACUUGAGUGCGCACAACGUAGGCGGAAUUCAUGGUGUAGCGGUGAAAUGCUUAGAUAUCAUGACGAAAUCCGAUUGCGAAGGCAGCUUACGGGGGCGCAACUGACGCUAAAGCUCGAAGGUGCGGGUAUCGAACAGG